UACGUAGGGGGCAAGCGUUGUCCGGAUUUAUUGGGCGUAAAGGGCGCGUAGGCGGUGCGGUAAGUCACCUGUGAAAUCUCCUGGCUCAACUGGGAGCUUGCAGGCGAAACUGCCGUGCUGGAGUGUGGGAGAGGUGCGUGGAAUUCCCGGUGUAGCGGUGAAAUGCGUAGAUAUCAGGAGGAACACCGGUGGCGAAGGCGGCUUUCUGGACAGAUACCGACGCUGAGGCACGAAAGCUAGGGGAGCAAACAGG
rnacentral:rRNA from 1 species